CACAUUUCUGCACAAAAUUUGAGCAAAAUAAGCUUUUUGUGCGUAUGGACAAUUUCUGGGAUCUUUUAUUUCAGCUCAUGAAACAUGGGACCAACACUUUACAUCUUGCAUUUAUAUUUUUGUUCAGUGUAGUUGAUGAUCUUUGUCCUAUAAGCUAUUGCAGUGGUUAGGAUCAGUUGUGAGAGUAGCUUAAGUCUUAUCCCCCCAUGUUGUACAGUAGAGCUGUGAGGCUUCCUGAACAGGUCCUAUCAAGGAUGUGAUGACUUGGUAACUCUGACAGAGUUGAGGCAGUAUGUACCACUACAGUGAGGGGGAAAAAGUAUUUGAUCCCCUGUUGAUUUUGUACGUUUGCCCACUGACAAAGAAAUGAUCAGUCUAUAAUUUUAAUGGUAGGUUUAUUUGAACAGUGAGAGACAGAAUAACAACAAAACAAUCCAGAAAAACGCAUGUCAAAAAUGUUAUCAAUUGAUUUGCAUUUUAAUGAGGGAAAUAAGGACUGAUCAUUUCUUUGUCAGUGGGCAAACGUACAAAAUCAGCAGGGGAUCAAAUACUUUUUUCCCUCACUGUAUAUAAUUACCUAAACAACUUCCUAUCAACCACCAUCUCCCCUGCUUUUGACUGAAUCUUCAUGGUGAUCAUGCAUUCCCUAUUAUGACUGGUCAAUAUGGAAAAGGACCAUUAAUGUCACAGGCAUCUGCUAAGUAGGUUAUGACUGACUGAGUGCCGUCUGUCUGUGAGAAGGCCAUAACGUCUUGGUCACAUGGAACGUCGAAGGACCAAAUCCAGCCACCAGGUGAACCAAUGGGGACAGAGGCCAUCAUUUCACCACCCAACCACUCGUCUAUUUCUGGCCUAUUGGUCUUCUUUCAGAUGAAUAACUGUGACUUUGCAUCAUGAAUAAUAGUAUAUUAUUUUGAAUGUAAUCUAUAAGGGAUGGGAUCUUUUUUGAAUGUAAUCUCUCGGGAUGGGGGGGAUUGCCACUGGUUAUUUUGUAAAUAUGAAAAAGCAUAAUUUUUUUUAUCCCUGUGCAGACAUGUUUUACUUGCUGGCUGAAUGAUGUUGAGUGAGAGUCAGAGUGUAUACGUUCAUACGUUUGUGAGUAUGAUGCCCCUAAGCUGCGGUGUGUGUUUUUUUUCUCCCA
rnacentral:lncRNA from 1 species